UAGAGCAAAACCUUGUCUCAAUCAAUCAAUAAUCAAUAUUAAACAAUAGAAUUGUUUGCUUUUUCUCCUGUUGAUCUGUCUGUUGUCAGUUCACAGCAAAUCUUCAGAGGGUAAAGGGGAAGUUUUUUAUUCACUCUUAUAGACUUGGCACAGUUGGCAAGAUAUCCAAAACUGCUCUGUUCCUCUGGAAACUGCAGUUGUGAGAGCCUAGAAUCCAAAAAGCUGACAAAAGGGUAAGAAAUUCUUACAAGUCAGCUCCUUGGAUCUGAUUCCAGCUUAUGGAGUCAGGUUGAGUGGAUGGUAAAAGUCACUCCUUGUCCCUUUCUUCUUUGCAAAUUUACAACAGUAGGAGAAAAUCAUUUGUACAGACUAGUCUUGGAUAUAGCAACUCUGGUAUAAUUUUUUGGUAUGAAUACUCACAUUGGAUGAUCUCUUUUCUCCCAGAAAUGGUCUUUGUUUUCCUUUGUUUCUGUCUUGUGUGUUGUUUGUUGUAAAAAGGACAACCUUUAUAUGGGUAGAACAUGGACCUAAAGCCCUUAUGAGCCCAUUGUUUGAGCUGUCCUUAUAGACUGAUGAGUACAUGGUUCUCACCAGACUGGCGUACAAACUUUUCUGUGGGUCCCUGAAACAAAAAACAAAUAAGAUACCUUGCUUGUCUUCCUUUGUAUCUUGAGAGCCUGGCUUUGUGAACAAGUGGCAACCACUCUUUCUUGUUCGUUGCCAGCUGGGAAGUACAAUUGUCAGGUUCUGCCAAGUGGCCAGUCUGAAAAGACUGGGAACCCAAGACACAAAAUGCUAUUAAGCAACAUUCUCUUUGUCGAAAUGUGCCAAGCUCCUAGGGAAGUUUGUCUUAAUAAAUUCCAUCCAUAAGGGGCUUUUGUCAUCUCUACCUCUGUUGUCUUGUUAGUGCUGGGAAAGUCCAAUCCUAGAUGUGCCUAUCCAGUGUCACAGAUUAGUAGGUCUGUGACAAAUGGCAUUCCACAUUUUUUUGGAGAACUGGAGACAUUUGCAAAUAUUAUUCUUAACUACCUGUGCCAACACAGGUCUGUACACUAUCUUAAUCUAUUUUUGAAAGUGAAUUUUGAGGGAUCAUAAGGGCUGCAUCUUCUUCACCUUCCUUGGGAAUGCCUCUUGCUUUCAUGCUAAAAAUUUAUUCUAAACAUAGAAAAUUACUUCCUGGUCUUUCCAUGAAGAGGCUACUAAAUUGAGCUGCUACUGGAAUAAAUACACCAUUAGAGAUCCUAACUGUCAAUGACCAGAUCAUGAAUUCUUUGAAUUGAAAUGACUUCUAUAUUUGAAAUAUGUUCCCCUCCAUUUAGUGAUCAGCAAAUGAAAAAUUACUGAGGAAGAAUAUCAGAGUUCUGACUGUCACAUGAAGAACCUAAUGAGAUUUUUGAUAACCCUGGGACACCUUGAAGAACACACAAAAGGCACCACUGACGCCCCACUUUUGGGGUCCUCUAUUUUCCUUAUGGAGCUCCAAAAGUCAUGGGUGGUAUUCCUCUCAGAUCUGAUGUUUUACUCUUUUGCAUUAAACUCCCUGAUCUCUGGCUUUUGGGGAUAUCAAGGGUUACUUUAGAGUAAAUAUGUCCAGUUCACAUUGAAAAAUUAUUCUAUGAAAUAGCAUAUGUUUCUAAAAAUUAUAUGUAUUCAUAAAAUGUUGGCACAUGACAGUUCAAAAUUGCUUGCUUCCUAGGUUUUCACUGAAAAUUAAGGCUACUUAGAGUUAAAAAUUCUACUUAUUACAUGUAAUAAAAAUUACUAAAUAUAAAGGAAACUUUGUAUACAAAGUGUAUAAGGAAAAAAUGUGUUUUCGGUGAGGAAAGUUAUUUAAAAAGACAUGUGGAUAUGUGUUUUUGUUCAGGAAAAAAUCAAUUUUUUAUAGUUUAGAGGGCAUUAAAAGAUUAUUUCAGAAUAUAUAAGUGGAAGAUAAAACAUUAUAGACAAAAAGAAGGGAAUACAAAAAGUUGGGGGAAAAACAGAGCAAAAGAGAAUCGUAUGUGGUUAAACUAUGAUUACAUAAAUUUACUAUAACAGGUUUUAAAAUUGAGCCUUAAUAUCAAAAGUACACUGAUACAAAACUAAAAUUCUGUCUUCUCUUUUAAACAACAUUUUCAUGUAGUAUUGCCAAGAGGUAGUAAAAGAUUUUAUUUACCAUUUAAAAUGAACUGCAAAAGUGAAGUGGGGGAGAGAAAGAAACAUUAUUUGUGUCUCAUGUUGUCUUUAUUAGGUCUUUUGAUUACUUAAAGAAACCAAGUAUUCUGUCUCAAAGAGUAAAGUUUUUGUUUUUUACAGCUAUGUAACUUCCUGUAUUUGCUUUUCAAGACUUUUAAUUAUCAUUCUGGCUAAAUUAAUGGCUAUCAUUUCACAAUGAUUGAAAUAAUUUAUUAUUUUGAUCUUAUUUUGGCCCAGUAUUUUAAAUAUUUGAUAUUUGACAAACCUCUCAAAAUUCAACAUAAGCAUUUUUUUACCACAAACUAUCUUUCAGAUAUUCCAUCGGGCCUCUGGAAGUGCAACAGAGAAAUAUUAAACUAAUUAGGCUUAUUGGAAAUGUUAAAAUCAUAUUAGAAAGACUGUCAAGUGAAAAAUAAUGUUUAACUUUUUUUCACUUAAAAUUUUAUAAGUAUGUUAUUGAUGAGUGUUCAAAAAUUAUAUGAUAUUCCUAAAAAUUUAAUAUAUCAUUAGUCACAAUAUAGUAUGAUAAUCUUAUUAAAUUUUUAUAGGCCACAAAAAUAAUACAAUUUUCUUGUCAAUUACAUCAUUAUUAUAAUGAACUCCCAUCAUAUCUUCAACCUUGGUCAUUCUAAGCCUUAUUGUCCACAGUUAAUUGCUUUAUUCUGAUGCUUUUUCUGAAAGUUCUUUGCAAGCAAGUAUUAUCCUAAAGUGUUGUAUCUUCAAGGAGAUAUAUGGGAAGAAAAUGAAAAUAAUUCUGAUAAACACAGGUUUCUAAUAACUUUAAGUUCAUACCAUUGGACUGAAUUUACAGAAUGCUGAUAAAAACUGAACUUAGAAAACUGCUCACUCAACAUCAAGCAGAAUAAAGAUUAAUCAUAUGGAAUAAAACUGAUAAAAUAGUAUGUUUUUUAUGGCUUUUUUGUCAAAACAUUGCUGAUUCUUCUCAUGUUUUGUUUUCCAGAUUUAAGAAAACUUUAUUCCUUUUAGGCUAUCUACAGCUUACAGCAAUUUGGUAAAGUAUAUCUCUGUGAACAGAAUUGAAGCAUUUAUUUACUUUUUUCCUACCUAAUAUCUCCAGAAUUGAGAAACUAUUCAUGAAUACUCAUAAUAUUAUGGCAAUAUAUUUAUUUGCAUAAGUUUAAUAAGAAUCUUUUUUUUUUUUUGUAACAGGACACAAUUGGAAGCAUUGGUUAUAUAGCCACAGUUUUGACUGGAAUGUCAUGCCUUCAGACAGUUUUAAGAAACUGAGGUUGUUUUAUGAAGCCAUUAAAAAGCCCCUGGAAACACUAGCCUGGUAUCUUGAAUAAAUGAUUUACAUGGCUGCUUUACAGUGUCUUCUUUCCCUCUUCUGCCCACGCCAUUAAAGGAAUUCCUCUAGGUCAUUGCCUCAAGGAAGUGGUGUGAAAAGUGUCCAAGAGAAAGGGGAAGUCACUUUGGUUUCCAAAACCUAAGCCUCAGGAAAAAAAAAGUGAACUUUUCAUGGCAAACUCUAGAACACCACAGCUGGCAAUGACCAAACUAAGGUAGAAUCGAGGUGGUCUUGGGAAAGGAGAGGCAGAUCAUAGCAUGUGGUCUCUUGAUUCCUGAGAAUGGAAGAUGAGAAAUCUGGGCUACAGCUAUCAUGAGCAAGGUCUUUAGGAUGGAGGCAUACCCCUGAGUGACAAAGAUGAAGAGGGGGAGAAUUUCCGUCAAGAGGUCAGUCCCCAGUCAGAGAACCUAGGAGUGUAGAGGAAGAGUUUUGUUUUCCUCCCCUAUUGGAGCAAGAGAAGUAUGAGUAGCUGAUACGCUGUGAGGUGGACCACUGUGAUUAUUUAAUCCAAUAACACAGAGAGCAUCUUUCAACUGAAUCUAACAUGGGCUGGCACUACAGGGCUCCCAGGAACCAGACUCUACUGCCUACAUAAAGCUCAUAUGCCAACAUGUUGCCUUCUUUCAGCAAAGAUGAUCGGUUCUCAGAAAUCAGGAAUGUCAGAGGGUGAGAAGAUGCAAGAACUCAUAACUGCAAACUUUAAAGAGAAAUGGCCUUUCUCUUGUACUUCAGAAGUAGCCCGGGAUGAACGAGGUCUACCCUCAUGGACUACAGAUCCAAGUUCCUGGUGUUCCAAACAAUCAGUGCUGGUGCAAGAGGUACAUGCUUAACUUUGAAGAGUUUUAAGAUCAAGCUGUUAAAAAAUUGGAGAAUGGUAGUUCAGCCAUAGAUGUCACAUCAAGCUUCUUCAUGAUUUUUACCAGCAUUGUCUAAAUCCUGUAAUUGAUAUCAAAUUGCAAGACAGGAGGCCUGGCAAUAGAACCUUGCAGCUCAUCUCUCUUUAGAUGGCAUAUGGGGAAGACUGAUGGCAGCUGGAUCCUGGAAAACCACUGCACAGUGAUAUAAACAGCUGAAAGGCUGAGUAAGACCCAGAAGCUGAGCUGAGCCCUGGUUGAUGAAAGCAAGCAUCCUGGAACUCUGGCUUGCCUGCCUGUCUUAGCUGAUUGACCAGACACUUUUCGUCACCCCUCCUUUCUUUAUUUGGAAGAUGAGCAUCUCACAAGCAUGAACAAUGAGUCUCUAACAAAGCCAACAAUAAUGCAGUUUAAAAAAGGCAUACUGUAAUUGUGUCAUCUGGUCAGAUUUACUAAUGAAUGGGGAAAAAAAAGGAGAAUAGCAGAUUAGGAUUCCUGAAACUGAUCCCCGUGUUCCCCAGAAGAUGGAUUUGGACCCGCAGGACUGAAGCUCUGUCGAUGAAGAAAUCGUUGGUGCCUCUGAGCUGUCCUUCCUUGGACAUUGUCCUUGGAGCUCUGAUCCUUAUAUGAACUUGCCAUGCUGAAAAAUGGCAUCUGGCUCCACAGCAGAGCUCGCCAAAGGAGUGAGUCCUAGCUUUCAGGACAGCUUUCCUCAAAGUCAUUCUGGAUGAAGAUUCCAAAGCAUUGCUUCUUGUACUUUAAAAAAGUUUCUUUAGCCAUGGGUAGAGAGUAGAUGGAGCUGCAAAGCUGCCAAAACAGUAUUCAAGUUUCCCUCUUGGAACGGCUAGAGGAGCCAGCUUCUUAGGAGGCAGCCUGCUGCUGUGGGAGGAUACGGGGGCCCCAGCAGCACUGAAAAGUCUCUGACUACCCUGAAGUUGGAGACCGUCCCGGGGAAUCUAUGCAGUGUAAGCUCGGGCGGGCCAAAUGGCCACUCGCAACUGCCAAAGGCUGCCUGGAUCGCUAGUUCACAUAAGCUUGGGCUCAGCAGGCUAAGCUGCUGGCAUUUGUUCAGUGGGGGAAAAAUAAAAUAACUUUGUGUGGCAAGUGAUAACCCUGACAUUUCAAUGUAUUUACCACAAUGUUGUUUCCUAGAGUUGCAGAGUACAACAAAUUAGAAUUAUAAAUACCAUCCAAUUUUCCUAACAGCUCUUGUGAGUUAUUAGAGAAAAUCAAAUCACCUUAGUCAAUCAAAGGCAGCUUAAAUGCUACUAUGCUGCUCUCCCUGAAGAGCUAAAAGCACCCAUCAUUCCUAUGUAGUGGUACAACUCCUUCAGUAUGGUAGAGACUAAACACUUUUGUGUAAAUAUAAAAAUAUCCAAAUCAAGUCUACAAAAUACUGCACUGAAACAUGGUUACGUUUCAGAGCUCGGACCUAAAAUGUGAUGCAAUACUUAAGUUUUCCCGGGAGUUCUAGGAAUGAAGAAAAGCACAUAAUUAUCCUUUAUUUUUGCUUGGAGAGUGCAUUUUUGCAUGCAUUAGUGUCACUCUGCAUGUAUGUGGGAAUUUAAAAUGGACGUGAACUCAAGACUGUACCUGAGACAUUGAAUUGGAGGCCUACGAGUGUUUUAUGAGGGGACUCUUUCUCUGUGAGAAGCCAGAUGCUCAGAAGUCUGCUGGAAGGAAAUACUUUAUUCCAGUCAGCCUUCACCUAAGCAGGAAGCAGAGAGGCCCACACUCCUCUCGAGGCCACGGGUUGUGGUAAUUGCUGAUACUUGGAUGAGCUGUCAACGUGAUAACUGUUUGUCAUGUCCCACUUAAUUGGAGCCCCAUAGAACAAUAAUGAAGUACCCUCUCCAUGCAGAUGACUUUGUGAUUGAUGACCCAGCUGAGGAAAUCAUUUACAAAUACAGGCCAAAAUUCAGCCUGGUGAUGGAUCUCAUCUGAUAUUCGCUUGGUCUUUAGAGUGUGGCUCUUUGAUUGACACUCAUGGUAUUGAGAUAACCCAAGAGAAAAAUCUUGCCUCUAGACACAACAAAGGCCCCUAAAUUGACUCUUAUUGAAAUAGGCGAAAUUUUGUUAGCUUCUUUUCAAGCUGAUUGAAGGUUUAGUGCAUAUAUAUUUUUAAUGCUGUGUGAGUGAAAAUAAUACAUUGGAAGUAAUAUCAGUUGAUUGACGUUGUAAAAAAUUGAGUUCCAUUUGCACAGGGUCAUUUCUCACUUAGAUGUUCAGAAGAGGGUGCUGGUGGCCCUAGUAGUCCUGGCAUAGUGAUGGCUCCUUUGGGAGGAGGUGUUGUAAAGGGCACAGAGGAUGUGUUGCUUUCAUAAUCAAUUUCCAUUCCCACAAGCUUUCCCAACUCCUUUCAACAAUGAAUUGAGUAACAUAACAAUACAUUUUUUUUUUUUGGUGUUCAAGGUACGCACUGUUAGAAAUAAUUGGGUUAAUUUAAAAAUUAUAAAUGAAAGAUAGAAUAUUUCAAGAAAGUGUGACCUAAUCACCUGUGGCAGUCAUUUGUAGAGAAAGAUGCUAUUAGGGCUAAGAAGGGUGAUUGAGUGCUGUUUAAAAAAAUAAUCAAGUGGGCUAGUAUUCAUCAGGGGCUGCUCUCAAUAGCUUAUUCUCAAUAAAGGCAGAGGAAUCAACUCAAACAGAGGGUUCAGUAAACAAUGAAAAGAAGAAGAAUAUCAAAUUAUUAGUGUUGUCUGUUGCAAUGUAAAGUGCAAUGCAUUUAUAUGACGCAGGCAGGCUCCUGUAUUUGUAUUUUCCCUUUAGAACCAUAUUAAAUUGAAUUAAUGUUUAUCUGUUACAUUCAGAACUUAGAAGUGUGUUCCUGAGGAUCUUGAGGAAAGAACAUAGAGCAACCAACAAUGAUGUACAGUGAUCUAUGACAUCUGAUUCAAUGACAAAGUAUAUGAACCAGAGAGUUAUUUACUUAUCUGCAGAAUGGGGAAAGUCAUACCUGUUGCAUAGAGCCAUUAAGGAGAUUACAUGGAAUCAUGUAUGCAAGAGUCUUGCACAGUGUCUGCACAUGUCUGAGGAUCCUGUCUUUCUACUUGGUGUUGCUGGUAAUGAUUUCAGUGUUCAUUAGGAGAACUGGCACUGUGAAUCAGAAACAAAGAGAAGAAACACAGGUAAGUUAAUUUGGUUCUUUCUUUAGCUUGUACCCUGAUAAGAGAUAACAUCAGGAAGGAACCAAAACUCUUAGUUAAAAUGUGGUCUUUAGGCCGGGCGCAGUGGCUCACGCCUUUAAUCCCAGCACUUUGGGUGGCUGAGGCGGGCGGAUCAUGAGGUCAAGAGA